rnacentral:rRNA from 1 species
UACGUAGGGGGCUAGCGUUAUCCGGAAUUACUGGGCGUAAAGGGUGCGUAGGUGGUUUCUUAAGUCAGAGGUGAAAGGCUACGGCUCAACCGUAGUAAGCUUUUGGAACUGUAAGACUUGAGUGCAGGAGAGGAGAGUGGAAUUCCUAGUGUAGCGGUGAAAUGCGUAGAUAUUAGGAGGAACACCAGUAGCGAAGGCGGCUCUCUGGACUGUAACUGACGCUGAGGCACGAAAGCGUGGGGAGCAAACAGGAUUAGAUACCCUGGUAGUCCCUGA